AGGACGAACGCUGGCGGCGUGCUUAACACAUGCAAGUGGGGCGACGAACCAGGCUUCGGCCUGGGGCAAAGCCGCGAACGGGUGAGUAACACGUGGAUAACCUGCCCCGAAGACCGGGACAACCCGGGGAAACCCGGGCUAAUACCGGAUGUGGUCACCGUCCAUAAGGACGAUGAGCAAAGGAAGCUUCGGCCUCCGCUUCGGGAGGGGUCCGCGGCCCAUUAGCUUGUUGGUGAGGUAACGGCUCACCAAGGCAACGAUGGGUAGCUGGUCUGAGAGGACGAUCAGCCACACUGGGACUGAGACACGGCCCAGACUCCUACGGGAGCAGCAGGUGGGGAAUCUUGCGCGAAGUGACGCGAAAGCGUAGACGCAGCAACGCCGCGUGGGUGAAGAACGGUCUUUACGGGUCGUAAACGUCCCUUUCGAGCGAAGGGACGAAACGCCGUUUACGG
rnacentral:rRNA from 1 species